rnacentral:rRNA from 2 species
ACGGAAGGCAGCAGUGGGGAAUAUUGCACAAUGGGGGAAACCCUGAUGCAGCGACGCCGCGUGAGUGAAGAAGUAUUUCGGUAUGUAAAGCUCUAUCAGCAGGAAAGAAAAUGACGGUACCUGACUAAGAAGCCCCGGCUAACUACGUGCCAGCAGCCGCGGUAAUACGUAGGGGGCAAGCGUUAUCCGGAUUUACUGGGUGUAAAGGGAGCGUAGACGGCUUUGCAAGUCUGAAGUGAAAGCCCGGGGUUCAACCCCGGAACUGCUUUGGAAACUGUAGAGCUAGAGUGCAGGAGAGGUAAGUGGAAUUCCUAGUGUAGCGGUGAAAUGCGUAGAUAUUAGGAGGAACACCAGUGGCGAAGGCGGCUUACUGGACUGUAACUGACGUUGAGGCUCGAAGGCGUGGGGAGCAAACAGGAUUAGAUACCCUGGUA